rnacentral:rRNA from 1 species
UACGUAGGGGGCUAGCGUUGUCCGGAUUUAUUGGGCGUAAAGAGCGUGUAGGCGGCCAGGUAGGUCUGGUGUGAAAACUCGAGGCUUAACCUCGAGAUGUCAUCGGAAACCAUCUGGCUAGAGUCCGGAAGAGGAGAGUGGAAUUCCUGGUGUAGCGGUGAAAUGCGCGGAUAUCAGGAAGAACACCCGUGGCUAAGGCGGCUCUCUAGUACGGUACUGACGCUGAGACGCGAAAGCGUGGGGAGCGAACAGG